rnacentral:rRNA from 1 species
UGGGGAAUCUUGCGCAAUGGGCGAAAGCCUGACGCAGCAACGCCGCGUGAGCGAAGACGGCCUUCGGGUUGUAAAGCUCUGUCAGGAGGGACGAAGCCACUCGGGUGAACAGCCCAGAGGGUGACGGUACCUCCAGAGGAAGCCCCGGCUAACUACGUGCCAACAGCCGCGGUAAUACGUAGGGGGCGAGCGUUGUCCGGAAUCAUUGGGCGUAAAGCGCGUGUAGGCGGCUCGGCAAGUCCGGUGUGAAAGCUCGAGGCUCAACCUCGAGUCUGCAUCGGAAACUGCCUUGCUAGAGUCCGGGAGAGGAGACUGGAAUUCCUGGUGUAGCGGUGAAAUGCGCAGAUAUCAGGAAGAACACCGGUGGCGAAGGCGGGUCUCUGGGACGGUACUGACGCUGAGACGCGAAAGCGUGGGGAGCAAACAG